ensembl:piRNA 21ur-1706 ncRNA
UCUCAUGCGAUAGAAUUAGAC